CGCGAUACAGGGUGACAGCCCCGUACACAAAAAUGCACAUGCUGUGAGCUCGAUGAGUAGGGCGGGACACGUGGUAUCCUGUCUGAAUAUGGGGGGACCAUCCUCCAAGGCUAAAUACUCCUGACUGACCGAUAGUGAACCAGUACCGUGAGGGAAAGGCGAAAAGAACCCCGGCGAGGGGAGUGAAAAAGAACCUGAAACCGUGUACGUACAAGCAGUGGGAGCACGCUUAGGCGUGUGACUGCGUACCUUUUGUAUAAUGGGUCAGCGACUUAUAUUCUGUAGCAAGGUUAACCGAAUAGGGGAGCCGAAGGGAAACCGAGUCUUAACUGGGCGUUAAGUUGCAGGGUAUAGACCCGAAACCCGGUGAUCUAGCCAUGGGCAGGUUGAAGGUUGGGUAACACUAACUGGAGGACCGAACCGACUAAUGUUGAAAAAUUAGCGGAUGACUUGUGGCUGGGGGUGAAAGGCCAAUCAAACCGGGAGAUAGCUGGUUCUCCCCGAAAGCUAUUUAGGUAGCGCCUCGUGAAUUCAUCUCCGGGGGUAGAGCACUGUUUCGGCAAGGGGGUCAUCCCGACUUACCAACCCGAUGCAAACUGCGAAUACCGGAGAAUGUUAUCACGGGAGACACACGGCGGGUGCUAACGUCCGUCGUGAAGAGGGAAACAACCCAGACCGCCAGCUAAGGUCCCAAAGUCAUGGUUAAGUGGGAAACGAUGUGGGAAGGCCCAGACAGCCAGGAUGUUGGCUUAGAAGCAGCCAUCAUUUAAAGAAAGCGUAAUAGCUCACUGGUCGAGUCGGCCUGCGCGGAAGAUGUAACGGGGCUAAACCAUGCAC
rnacentral:rRNA from 1 species